CUCCUACGGGGGGCAGCAGUGGGGAAUAUUGCCCAAUGGGCGAAAGCCUGAUGCAGCGACGCCGCGUGAGCGAAGAAGUAUUUCGGUAUGUAAAGCUCUAUCAGCAGGGAAGAUAAUGACGGUACCUGACUAAGAAGCACCGGCUAAAUACGUGCCAGCAGCCGCGGUAAUACGUAUGGUGCAAGCGUUAUCCGGAUUUACUGGGUGUAAAGGGAGCGCAGGCGGUGCGGCAAGUCUGAUGUGAAAGCCCGGGGCUCAACCCCGGUACUGCAUUGGAAACUGUCGUACUAGAGUGUCGGAGGGGUAAGCGGAAUUCCUAGUGUAGCGGUGAAAUGCGUAGAUAUUAGGAGGAACACCAGUGGCGAAGGCGGCUUACUGGACGAUAACUGACGCUGAGGCUCGAAAGCGUGGGGAGCAAACAGGAUUAGAUACCCUGGUAGUCCACGCCGUANNCGAUGAAUACUAGGUGUUGGGAAGCAUUGCUU
rnacentral:rRNA from 1 species